GGCAACGCCGGUUCCUUAACCCACUGAGUGAGUCCAGGGAUCGAACCCGCAACCUCAUGGUUCUUAGUCGGAUUCGUUAACCACUGAGCCAUGAUGAGACCUCCUAGUCUGUCAGUUUUGACUUAUCUUUUUCAAAUAAAUUACCCUCAUGGCCUUUAACCAUCUUCUACUUAUCAAAGCAAAGGCCUUAGAGAUGAAAUAUUUCAUAAACACGUAUCAUUUAAAUAAUUUUUUAGUGUAGGAUCUUAGAAUUUGUUUGCAUUGCUUAAAAAUAUCCCAAAAUCCAAAAAACAAAUCUGUGUGUGCUGACAUGUAAGAUGAUCUCCCUUUCACUGAGAAGGAUGCUCAAAGAGCCUGCAGGAGCUGAGACUUGUCCAUGUACCUAAAGUGACACAGUGAGGUCUCACAUUAAGGUUAUAGAAAUCCCCGAUUGCCAGCAUGCUUCCACACUGCCGUGAAACUCUGUGAGUGACUUGGGACCAGUGCAAUGGGACCAAUCCCAUUCCAUAUUUACUGACCACCUAAUAUGUCUCAGACACUGCACUAGAGGCAUAGGAGAGCUAGAGUGGCAGUAAGACAUUAUGGAAUCAGAUUUGUAGUCCUUUUAGAGACUCACCUAAAAGUACCUGCAAUCUGCAUACUGCUGGCAUGCCAGUGAUAUUUUUGCCUAUUUUUAUAAUAGUGGAAAAGCUAUCGUCUACUCAUUUGGUCCAAUAAUCUUCCUUCCAUAUUUUAGAUCCUUCUAUGAUACCAUUUUAACUUCUUCUCUUUCUCCAUCUUUUCCUUCCUACCCACAUUCACCAAUUCUGUCUGCCUUACCAUGUACAGAGAGCCAGUAGUUCCAGGGAAAGUACUGUGCAAGGAUGAGGUUGCCUCUUGACCCAAGGGAUAGGGGAUACUUUGGGCUCUGAGGGGUAUUGGUCCUCUGGUUAUAACACCAUGGAGUUAAUUAUCAAGCAUCUCCAGGUACUUGGUAUGGAAACAGGUAAAUUACACAUAUAAUCUCCUUUAAUUUGCUCCUAUGCAUGCAAUUUAUUUGUGCACAUCAGUUCUUUGCUUAUAGUGCUGCUGCUACCAAAAUGAUGAGUGUCAUGAAACUAAUGAAAAGCAAAUCAUCCUGAUGUCUAACUUUGAAGGCACUUUCUCAGUCUUCUCGGUUUUAUGUAGAUCUCACUUAUUUUAAUGCAAACAAGUCUAAAUGUAAGAUAAAGUCAAAAUGGCUAAGUGGGGGAAAAGCCUUGAAAAGAGAAAAUGGACAUCAUGAGGCUUGUGCUAGACUAACACUGGGCGAAUUUCACCAACACAUGUUAUAGUAUAGUAGAUAAAGAGGCAGCAUGAACACUAAGCCCAAAUACUUGGUAACUCAGCCCACUCUGUUGUUCUGAGGCUGAUCUCUCAUGGGAUUGUAUUCCUUUCCUUCUGUCUUGAGCCCUCUUUCCCUGAAAACAUCUCUUUUUUUUUUUCUGCCACUUUUUUCUUCAUUUUUUAAAAACCAGCAUGGGCUUUGGGGAAGGUUUCCUCAGCAACUCUGGGAAAAGUUGCGUUCAAUUACAGAACCAUAGACAUUUAGAGUCAGGAGGCCAUUUGGAAAUCAUCUAAUUCAUCUUCUUCACCUCAACUGCUAAGGACCCACAGUCUAGCAAUGUAGGAAUAGAAAUGUCUGGAGUGAUGGAAAUUUUCCAACUCUGUAUUGUCUGCUACAGUAGCCACUAGCCACAUGUAGCUAUUGUACACUUGAAAUGUGAUUACCAUGACUGAAUUCUAAAUUUUAUUUACCUGUAAUUUAAUUUAAAUUCAGAUAGUCCCAUAGGGAUAGAGGCUACCAUAUUGAAUAGCGGAGGUCUAGAAAGUUCUUGGAUUGUACCCAGUGUCACACUGUAAAGUGGAAGAACUCACCUGAUUAUAUAGGCCUUUGAAUCAGCUCAGGGGUCUUUAAUGGUUUCAAAUACUUCAGUAAAUCAACCAACUUAGCCCAGAAUGCAUAAUUAAGGUGCAGGGGAGAAGUAUUGGCUGCCUUGGCAUUGACAAACCAAAAAAAAAAAAAAAAAAAGCAAAAUCAGGGUUGUCAGAAUCUGGCAGGGCAAGAGGAUUAGGGGUCCAUCAAUAGCAGCAUCUUGUAAUAUGGUUAUACCAGAUAUGAUGCUCAUAUGCAUGAAAAGAUAAAGAUGUUUGGAGGCAUUUUAAACUUUCUGUAAAGACAUCUGUAGUGGAAGCUAAAAUGUUUAUAGAACCAUACACAUUAGGCAGUGGGGGGGGGCAAGAUAGACAGAAUUGAAUGUGUAUAAACAUGUUAAAUUUAUCUGGAGCAGGGAGUUUAUAGACAAGCUCCUAAAAAUGACAAGUUCAGGGACAGAUAAGGAGUUCACUGGUUGCCUAGUGGUUAAGGAUCCAGUAUUAUCAUUGUUGUGGCCUGGGUUCGAUCCCUGGCCUGGGAACUUCUGCAUGUCAUGGGGGUGGCCAUACCCUGGCAGACUGGGGCAAUGUGUCAGGAGAGAUAGGCACAGAGGGAGUUAACACUUCCCUGAAUUUUAUUAUUUUGAUUUGUGUUUGUGCUUUUUUUUUAAAUAAAUAAAAGCAAUUUCUAUCAGCUUUAUGGGUUUGAAAUUAGGCAGAAAAUUAUCAGAAAAAAAUUUUUUAAGUGGAAGGAUGCCCGGAAAGAACACUGAAGGCACAAUUAAGUAGAUCACUGCUUUUCCUCAUGUAUUUAGCCAGACAUACAAAAAUAUUUACCCAUAGAAUCAUUUGUAUUUGUCUAAUAUAUAAGGCCAGAGAUUUUUUGUCUGGCAAUCUCAGUCUCUGGCUGCAGUAAGUUAGAUCUUCUGUAUAAUUAUUCAAGGCAGUCAAAAUAAGAUAAAUCAGGCUGAAUAUAACACAAAUGCAAACACAGCUCUUAACACACUCCAGUUGAAGAACAGCAAAUAUAAAGGCAGUUGUGAUCUUGGCUCUUGAAAUAUUCCAGGAAAGAGUGUUCUUUGUACAGGGUCUACUCUGGCUAUUUGACACACAUGCUGAGAAUUGAAUGAGGUUAGAACCAAGAAGGAGCUCACUUAUGAGAGUUAAGGGAAGUAAGGCAGAGAUGCCCAGGUGGUGUCAAUUAAAGUCCAUUUGGAGGGCGGGACAGAGGCUAUCAGGUGGCAGGUUUUACUGGGAAAGAACACAGCUCAGGAGCUGGGAGCUGCAGAGUCUGCUGAUCCCUGGGCUGCAGCAACGGCCAUUGCAGCAACUGGUGCCUCCUUCUUUCUUUGUUUCUAGUCCUUUAGUGCUUGUGAAGCUGCUUCUCCAAGUCAUGCAGCAGUUUCUGGAAGAAGGAGCUCCUCCAGUCCAAGUGGUAUCCCAGGCAUUCCUGGGCCUCAUCCUGAAGUGAGGCCCUUCGCUCGGGUUGGCAGGCUCCUUCUCCCUCUGCUCCUGCUGCUGCGACUGUUCUCCCGUUCUGUGGCAUCUUGGCCAUGCACUCUACUAUGAGCUGCUCCCUGGCUUGACGCUUCUGCUCCUCUGCCAGCUGCUGCACCCUCAGCAACUCCUGCACAGCCACCGGGCUUGGGUAUCACUGGCUCUCCUCGACCUUCAGCUUCUGCAGCUGUUUUCAUGGUGGACACAGAGAAGCAAAGGCCACCCGGGAGAUGGCGUUAUGCUGUGCCAACUGCUUAGCCACAUAGAGCAGCCCCAGCUUUCAGCAAGGGGUGAUUGGUCAUCUUGGGCAGGCCACCAGUGCCCCAGCGAGCAGUGUGGAGGCAGAGGCACUGUGGCCACAGGCGCUCUGGUCCCGUGUCCCAGGCAGGCUGUGCACUGGCCACGUGAGUGGCACUGUCUAGGCCAUUAAAGUGCUUUCUUGAACUCAGUUUUGAGUAUCCUGGAAGUCUGGCUGUGGAUAAGAAGAUGGGUAGUUGACCUUCUGAAGAGCUGCUGUACAGACACUGAAGGGCCAGCCUCAGAAUGUGGUGAGUCCACAGAUCCUAAGGAGGCAUGGAUAUCUGGGUGAAUGAUAUGGUUCAUGGACUGGAGAACAAACAAGACUAAAUUGAAAACUGGACCUCAAUCAACCAGUUGAAGAAAAGCCAUGCCCAACGCAGUUUCUCCUCAUUUGCACUGGAGAAUAGAACAUCUUUGAUGGACACGUGUUACAUGGAAACAUCUUUGUGAUAUGCUUAGUUGGGGCACAAUAAUAAAUGCAAAUGGAUCGAGUGUCUUUCAUAACAUUCAGGACAAAUGCUGAAGAGCCCUGUUUAAACAGACAAACAAGCAAGAUCAAGAAACCACUGUUUAAGAUUCAUACAAUGACUCGAUACCUUAUCCCUAAGGAUAUGCAUCAUGAAGAGCAGGUGAAUUCCAAAAUUAUGUAACACUUACAUAUCAACCAGAAGACAGUUGCAGGGUAUGAGUGUUCCUGUUGCUCCACAUCCUCAUCAGCAUUUGAUGUCAUUGAUUUGGAUUUGGGCCAUUCCAAUAGGUUGGCCAAGCUCUCCUGCACCUCUGCCAUCCCUGAGAAGAACAUGCCCUGGCUAGCAAAAUUCCGAAGAGGAUAAACACAGAGAGAGCAGUAUCUCCCAGCUCACUCACUGACCUGCAGCUUGAAGCAGAACCACCUUGAUAAGCCUUGUCAUGGGGAGCAAACCCAAAGGUUCUGCAGAUCCACAGAAAUGGAGGAUUGCUACUUCAAGCUACUGAGUUUGGAGAUAAGAAAACUGAGACUCAAGAAGUUAAAAUGACCCAAGUCCACUUCAGCUCUUAAGAGGUAGGAUUCUAAUCCAGUUUUUCAUUCAUUUAAGAAUUAUAUGAAAAUCCAACUAUGUGCCAGGCGCUGAGCUGGGCAAAGGAGACACAACACUGAACAAGGGAGGUAGAGUUUAUUUCUUCUUAAAACAUACACUAAAAAAAGAUACAGCAAAAAUGAGCAUGAAAUCACUACUCAUUGUACUAUUAGAAGUCCUAAUGUUCCAAGAUAAAAGGUCAGCAUGCUCUGAGAGGGGAAAACACAGACACCUGAUUGCAAUUAUGUGGCCCUUAUAAAGAAGAUACACGUGCAUUUAAAUGGAGGCAAGAAGGCGUUGUCUGGCUCUGACUCCACACUUCACUUUCAACAUUAUACGCAGACCAUCUUGGAACAAUGAUCUGACAAGAGCACAAAGAAAUCUCAGCAUUGAAAUAUUAAGUCCUCAUCUUUGUCUUUCAUUUUAAAAUGAAACUACUGGAUACUAGUCAAAAUCUACUUCAUCUUUAACAGUAUCCAGAAUAAUAGGCCAGAAUAUAAUUGCAAAAGCCUCCUUUAGAAAGCACUCUGGAUUCUGAAACCAGAUGGACAGAUGUCCUCCUGAAGCCCAUGUAACACUUUGUCUGGUCCACUCUUCAGACACUUAGCCUGACUUGGGUAAAAUUAGUUCUACCAAGUUAUAUUGUCCAUGAGGGCAGAGGUCAUGAUGUUUCCACUUUGGCAUUUUGAAUGGUGUGCUGCUUCAACACUUUAAUUGGUGCAUGGACGUAUAUGAUCUGUGCAUGGGAAAAAUACGUAAGACACAGCACAGUGUAGCAUAAAAAGGAGGGACGGUGGUGUCUGGUUGACCUGGAUUCACGUUCUCAUCCUAGCCUGUCUCACUUAAACUUCUCUGAGCUUUGGAUUCCCUGUCUAUAAAAUGGAUAUUAGCAUCUCCCUUACAAGGUUGUUAGCUUGUUGUAGAAGAGAAACACAAUCUACAUGAGAAUGAGAUGGAUUGAUUCAACUGCUCACAAAUCAGUAGCUGUCAUUAAAGUCUUUUUUUGUUUGUUUGUUUGUUUUGUUUUUUAGUGCCUCA